rnacentral:rRNA from 1 species
UACGAAGGGGGCUAGCGUUGUUCGGAAUACUGGGCGUAAAGCGUGCGCAGGCGGUUAUGUAAGACAGAUGUGAAAUGCCCGGGCUUAACCUGGGAACUGCAUUUGUGACUGCAUGGCUAGAGUUUGGCAGAGGGGGGUAGAAUUCCACGUGUAGCAGUGAAAUGCGUAGAUAUGUGGAGGAACACCGAUGGCGAAGGCAGCCCCCUGGGUCAAGACUGACGCUCAUGCACGAAAGCGUGGGGAGC